rnacentral:tRNA from 1 species
UGUUUCUGUGGUGUAGUGGUUAUCGCGUUUGCUUUACACGCAAAAGGUCUCCGGUUCUAUCCCGGGCAGGAACAUUUAGAAGUAC